CAGCUGGGUUAGCCCCUUCCUGUGCCCUUCAAUACCGAGUCGGGUAGCAACACUCACAGGGACUGUGUCAGGCUGGAAGGAGCCGCCUUGUUCCCACAGAGCCGGGAAGAGAACCCAGAUGUCACAAGCGUGUCUGACCUGUCUGAGGAAAGAGAGAGAAGAAAGCAAAACUUAUAGGGAGAGGAAAAGCAAAGAGCCACUGGGGCUGGUGACCUUCGAGGAGGUGGCUGUGCAUUUCACCCGGGGCAGGGGGCUCUGCUGGACCCCGGUCAGAGAGCCCUCUACCGGGACAUCAUGCAGGAGAAUUACGAGACAGUGACCUCACUAUGGCAUCUGAUUUCUAAGCCCAACAUGAUGUCCCAGCAGGAGCGAGGGGAAGACCCGGGCCUCCAGAACUCAGAGAAAAGGGAGAGUCCAGGGGGCACCUGCACAGCAAGUGACUUGACAGUGGCUGAGAACAAGGAGGAGAAUUCUCAGCAGGAGGGCCCUGAGCCAGUGGAGCUGCAUGGGACAGUGUCAAUAAAAUCCAAGAGGAAUGUGUCCCUAAGCCCUGAAUGGGGGGAAUUGCACAGGAUGUCAUCAGUAAAGACGCGAAGGGAACGCUUCACAGAGUUGUGAGCAGGAAAAAGUCUGUGAAUCUCAGUGUGGAUCAGAAAGGCUGCAAGGAAACCAGCUGGGGACAAGUCAGGAUAAACCCACUCAUGGCGUGGGAGGUUUGAAGGAACUCAACAAAAGUGUAACCUAGCCGAGCAACCCAGUGGGAGGGAGACCCCACAGGUGCGCUGAGUGUGGGAAAAGCUUUAGUUGCAACUUAUGCCUUUACAGGCACCGGAGAACCCACACGGGCGAGAAGCCUUACAAGCAGGGCUUUGUAGUGGAGCCCAGAGCUGAAGCAUGGAGCAGCUCCAGAGAAAUGGAGCUGCAGGUUUUUGCCUGGAGCUGGAGCGGAGCCGGAGCACAGCUCCAAAGCCCUGCUUACAAGUGCCCCAACUGUGAGAAAAGAUUCUGCAGCAGCUAGAC